AACGGACGCUGGCGGCAGGCUUAACACAUGCAAGUCGAGCGAGGCCUUCGGGUCUAGCGGCGGACGGGUGAGUAACGCGUGGGAACGUGCCCUUCUCUACGGAAUAGCCCCGGGAAACUGGGAGUAAUACCGUAUACGCCCUUUGGGGGAAAGAUUUAUCGGGGAAGGAUCGGCCCGCGUUGGAUUAGGUAGUUGGUGGGGUAAUGGCCCACCAAGCCGACGAUCCAUAGCUGGUUUGAGAGGAUGAUCAGCCACACUGGGACUGAGACACGGCCCAGACUCCUACGGGAGGCAGCAGUGGGGAAUCUUAGACAAUGGGGGCAACCCUGAUCUAGCCAUGCCGCGUGAGUGAUGAAGGCCUUAGGGUUGUAAAGCUCUUUCAGCUGGGAAGAUAAUGACGGUACCAGCAGAAGAAGCCCCGGCUAACUCCGUGCCAGCCGCCGCCGUAA
rnacentral:rRNA from 1 species